rnacentral:rRNA from 1 species
CCUACUUUUCAUCAUUCCAUCGAGCCACUCGAUGCAGAUGACUGGCUCCGUAGCAUCACCCAUAAGCUGCGUUCCGCGAACGUAGCUGAAGAUGACAAGGUCACUUAUGCCACAUAUCACCUAGAAGGUCCUGCUAGUCUUUGGUGGCAGAACUAUGAGGCUAUGCUUCCAGUUGGCCAGAUUCCUACCUGGAAGGAUUUCACUGAGGCUUUUCGCGAGCAUCACAUUCCCCAGGCCCUCAUUGAUCGCAAGAGAGAAGAGUUCUGUAGUUUCACCCAGAGUAAGAUGGCUGUUGAUGCUUAUAGCAGAGAAUUCGAGAACCUUGCCCGCUAUGCCACAGAAGAAGUGUCCACGGACGCCAAGAAGCAAGCUAGGUUCCGGAAGGGUCUCAACCCCAAGUUGCGUCGUGAUCUCCACCUGCAUCAUUGUGAUACAUUCCAAGCCCCUGUGAACAAGGCCAUCAAUGCAGAGACAGCUCAACUCACUUACGAGGAGUCUCGUAAGCACACCCGUGAUUUGGGAUCUUCCUCCGGUUCUAGUUCCCAGAAGCGCCGGAUUUGGGUUCCAAACUCCGCUCUUCCUUCCGGUUAUACACCGAGGCCAUCCUAUGUGGUGCCUUCUCCAGCUCAGUCGUAUGUUCCACCCGGGCCUACUGGUAGACCGUUUGUCAGUGCGGGUCCACGUCCAACCUCAGGGACUUGCUUCACAUGCGGGAAGCCAGGACACUAUGCACGUGACUGCUCUCAGACUAGUUAUGCUCCACCUCAGCCCGAGAAGACUUUUGGCUGUGUUAAGCCAUCACGCAAGAUGAUCAGUGUCAAGUCAGCCCCCACUGAACGUGGACGUGUGCAUCACGUCUCAGCUAAAGACGCUCAUGAUGAUCCAGAUGUCGUUCUUGGUACCCUUCUUGUCAAUUGUCACCCAGCAUCAGUUCUAUUCGAUACUGGAGCAUCUCACUCCUUCAUUUCUGAAGGUUAUGCUCGUUUGCACGACAUGUCAUUUUGUGAUAUGCCAACUCCGCUUGAAAUCCAAACCCCAGGGUCUAGAUGGCAGACCACCAGAAUCAGCCAUGGUAACGAAAUCCUUGUUGACAGACUUGUAUUCCUUGCAUCACUUGUAGCCCUCAAGUCUUCAGAUAUUAACAUCAUCUUGGGUAUGGACUGGAUGACAGCUCAUCAUGCCAAGAUUGAUUGUUACACAAGAUCUGUUCAGCUUACACACCCAUCUGGCAAGAUAGUCACCGUCUCCACUAGAGUUGCAAAGCGUCAACUCUAUUCUCUUAAUGCCAGCCCUCUUCCAGACCUUGAA